UGCAGUCGAGCGGAGAUGAGGUGCUUGCACCUUAUCUUAGCGGCGGACGGGUGAGUAAUGCUUAGGAAUCUGCCUAUUAGUGGGGGACAACAUUUCGAAAGGAAUGCUAAUACCGCAUACGCCCUACGGGGGAAAGCAGGGGAUCUUCGGACCUUGCGCUAAUAGAUGAGCCUAAGUCGGAUUAGCUAGUUGGUGGGGUAAAGGCCUACCAAGGCGACGAUCUGUAGCGGGUCUGAGAGGAUGAUCCGCCACACUGGGACUGAGACACGGCCCAGACUCCUACGGGAGGCAGCAGUGGGGAAUAUUGGACAAUGGGGGGAACCCUGAUCCAGCCAUGCCGCGUGUGUGAAGAAGGCCUUUUGGUUGUAAAGCACUUUAAGCGAGGAGGAGGAGCUCUAGAUUAAUACUCUAGAUGCUUGGACGUUACUCGCAGAAUAAGCACCGGCUAACUCUGUGCCAGCAGCCGCGCGUAAUACAGAGGGGUGCCAAGCGUUAAUCGGAUUUACUGGGCGUAAAGCGUGCGUAGGUGGUCUUUUUAAGUUCGGAUGUGAAAUCCCUGAGCUUAACUUAGGAAUUGCAUUCGAUACUGGGAGACUAGAGUAUGGGAGAGGAUGGUAGAAUUCCAGGUGUAGCGGUGAAAUGCGUAGAGAUCUGGAGGAAUACCGAUGGCGAAGGCAGCCAUCUGGCCUAAUACUGACACUGAGGUACGAAAGCAUGGGGAGCAAACAGGAUUAGAUACCCUGGUAGUCCAUGCCGUAAACGAUGUCUACUAGCCGUUGGGGCCUUUGAGGCUUUAGUGGCGCAGCUAACGCGAUAAGUAGACCGCCUGGGGAGUACGGUCGCAAGACUAAAACUCAAAUGAAUUGACGGGGGCCCGCACAAGCGGUGGAGCAUGUGGUUUAAUUCGAUGCAACGCGAAGAACCUUACCUGGUCUUGACAUAGUAAGAACUUUCCAGAGAUGGAUUGGUGCCUUCGGGAGCUUACAUACAGGUGCUGCAUGGCUGUCGUCAGCUCGUGUCGUGAGAUGUUGGGUUAAGUCCCGCAACGAGCGCAACCCUUUUCCUUAUUUGCCAGCGGGUUAAGCCGGGAACUUUAAGGAUACUG
rnacentral:rRNA from 1 species